GUCAGAUACUGGAGAGAGAGAGAGAGAGAGAGAGAGAGAGAGAGAGAGAGAUAGCGUGGGCUUCUUCUCCCUUUCUUCCGGGCUUUCUGCCCGCUGAGAACGUGCGCGCAAAAAGGAUGAAGCCAUCCCGAGCCGUGCGCCCCUUCCCCCGUCCUCCUCCACCUUGCCUGGGCUCCGCCUCCUCCACCUCUCUCUCUCUUCUGCGCCAACGGCCACUCCCUCGUUGCUGGACCCCGCCCUGCUUCGCCUCCGCCAGCCUCUUCCUCCUUGCCGUCGACGGCAGCGGUGUGAACUGGAGCAGCGGCCGUGACUAGAUGCGAUGAGUUGACCGGGCUGGUUCCACGCUGAGGAACGGACCCCCUCGACACCAUCAUCUGCGGCGCUACUCUGCUGCCUCCGUUUGUCACAGUUAAGGUUUGUGAUCUCUUCUGCAUUCCGCUUUCCAGGAGUUCUUGCCUUCAACACUGAGGUGGAAUGGCUCUUCCCAUACUUGUCUGUAAGCUAUUUGAUGAAAUGUUUGUGUCAUACUUUUUCUUCAGUUUUUAUUCCUGCUCCUGAGUUUUACUCUGGUUUGUCAUUUCUGCCAGCGCGAAGGUGGGGCUCGAAGAAGUAUGGCCCUGAUGCGCUAGAUUCUUUUGUAACUCAAGAGGUUAUAUUUUAAUUGCAUGCACUUACUUUAGCUUAGGGGUUCAUCUGUACGGGAGCACAUCAUUGGAGAGAAAGAUCAUGAUCAAAGGAAAUAGGUUUCAGCUUUCAGGCUCAUGCGCCUGUUUUCCUUUUUCCUUUUGAUGGGGCCGUUCAGGUGAGGUGAAGCAAGCAAGCACCUCCCCGUGUUUUAUAUUUGAGAUCGAGGAGAGAGCGAGCCAUUGCAGAGGAGAGGGGAUACGAGGAUGGGCGGAGGUCAGGCCUUGCUAACAGAUUUGCGGCGGAGUGGGAGAGGUGACGCCGACCGGCCGGCGCCUCACCACCGGCUCCUGUUUGGCGGUGGCAAAGAGAAGGGUGCCGAGGAUGUGUUGCUCUAUGCAUGGGUGUCGAAGUACAUCAUCGUUAUGAUGUGUAUCGUUUCUCUAUUUUCAGCCCUACUACUCUUGAGCCCAAAUCCCAUGACCAUGCCCCCACCUCUCCUUCGUUGAAUGAAGGGAGUCUGGUUGCUAAAAAGUAUGGAAUUUUAAUUUGAUAGUCCGAACAACGGUGGAUACUGAUGGAGCUAUAUACAUCUUUACAUGAUAAGCUGACACCUAAUAAGGAUCAGGAGAACAACAGAGAUGCUAAGAGGCAACCUUUUGGGGUUAAGGAUAUCAACAACAACAGGGCUUAUGAGGCCGAAGAGAGCUCGAGUGGCGUCUUUUGGUACUUGAAGCCGUGCACGUUCCUGGUGUAGUAGUAGCAAAAUAAUUUGGAGGCUUUAAAGCUACUGCACUUCAUGUAGUUAGGAUCAAUUCUUUGUUUCGGUUUGAAAUAUUCCCCUGUUCCUCCUAUUUGAUUGAUUCAUCUGAUGGACAUUUUGUCAGGCAAAUAAACAAAAGGCAUGUGUAUUGUUCAAGAAAUAGAGAAAUGUUAUUGUUCUUCUACUAAUUGGUUGCUUGGCCAAAUGUAUUGUAAAUGAUUUAUUAUUGUUCAAGGUAUAGAGAAAUGUUAUUGUUCUUCAUUGUA